AGCAUAAAGCAGAACCAAUAAUAAAUUCAGUGUGGAUUAAAAUGAUCCACAGCAAGAGAAAGAUUCUAAAAAAAAAAAAAAAAAAACUCAACUCUGCUCCAAAACUCUAGCACAAGGUAUCCAUGAAAGAAUAUUUACAGAUGUGCUCCUUUACCAAGAGCCAUGCUGUUCAUGGGAUUGACACUUUCAAACUGUUGUGCUGAAGAAGGCUCUUGAGAGUCCUUUGGGCAUCAAGAGAUCAAACCAGAAAAUCCUAAAGGAAAUCAACCCUGGAUGUAUUCACUGGAAGAACUGAUGCUGAAGCUGUAGCUCCAAUACUUUGGACACCUGAUGCGAAAACUGACUCAUUGGAAAAGACCCUGAUGCUGGGAAACAUUGAGGGCAGGAGAAAGAGACAACAGAGGAUCAGAUGGUUGGAUGGCAUCAGCAGCUCGAUGGAUAUGAGUUGGAAUAAACCCCAGGAGUUGACGAUGGACAGGGACGCCUGGCAUGCUGCAGUCCAUGGGGUCGAAAAGAGUUGGACACGACUGAGUGGCUGAACUGAAACUAUUACUUGUGUGAUCCUGUAUUUUCACGUAUCUGGUGUUUCUUAGAAAAUGACAAGUUUUACUGGAAAUAGAACUGCCAUAUGACCCAGCAAUCCCACUGCUGGGUAUACACACCGAGAAAACCAGAACUGAAAGAGACACAAUACCCCAAUGUACAUUUCAGCACUGUUUACCAUAGCAUGGACAUGGAAGCAACCUAAAUGUCCAUUGAUAGAAAGGAAGACCUUCCAGGGCCCGAAACUGGGCUCUUGUCUAACACUCAGAAAUGAAUUAUCUGAGGAGACACAUGUGCUGACAAAGCAAGAGACUUCAUUGCGAAAGGGCACCCAGGUGGAGAGCAGUAAGGUAAAGAAACCCAAGAGAACGUCUCUGCCGCGUGGCUCACAAUGUCGGGUUUUAUGGUGAUGGAAUUAGUUUCCGGGUGGUCUUUGACCAAUCAUUCUAAUUCAGGGUCUUUACUGGUGGUGCACGCAUUGCUAGCCAAGGUGGAUGCUAGCAAGAGGGAUUCUAGG
ensembl:lncRNA